GUUUAGCCCUGAUUGAAAUGACAUCCUUUUUGCUUUUUUUAGCAAAAAGAUAAAAUGGAAAGCAGGAAAUAGC
rnacentral:sRNA from 1 species